GCUAAGAGCUUUACACGUACCCUUCAUACAUCACAUCAGCACUAUGAGUUUGCCCAGUUUAUAGAUGAAAUGGAGGUACUAGUUAAUAACAGGCAGAAGCAUGCUAGAAUCCUGGCCGUUGGACAGCGGUGCUCCUGUGCUGAACCACCGUUCCACCUGCCUUUCUGAGGAUAUGGCUGGUGCAUUAGCACACAGGAAGGCCUCAACCACUGGGGGAAGAUACCAGUGAGGUGCUGGAUAUACCAGGCUGAACGAUAUCACCAUUGUCUUCCUACUCUGGAGCUGACAUGCUCAUGGGGAAGACAGAUAGACCAAACAAACACCACAACCCCUUUCCCUGCCCCACUACCAUUGAAAACAAAUAAAUGAAAUACCUACAAGUUA